CUCAGUAACACGUGGAUAACCUACCCUUAGGACCGGAAGAACCCCGGGAAACUGGGGAUAAUACCGGAUAAGCCAUAGACGCUGGAAUGCCCUAUGGUUCAAAGCUCCGGCGCCUAAGGAUGGAUCUGCGGUCUAUCAGGUUGUAGUGGGCGUAACGUACCUACUAGCCGACGACGGAUACGGGUUGUGAGAGCAAGAGCCCGGAGAUGGAUUCUGAGACACGAAUCCAGGCCCUACGGGGUGCAGCAGGCGCGAACACUUUACAAUGCGGGAAACCGCGAUAAGGGAACCCCGAGUGCCAGCAUCAAAUGUUGGCUGUCCAGAUGAUUAAAAAUCAUUUGUUAGCAAGGGCCGGGCAAGACCGGUGCCAGCCGCCGCGGUAACACCGGCGGCCCGAGUGGUAGCCGUUUUUAUUGGGUCUAAAGGGUCCGUAGCCGGCCUGAUAAGUCCUUUGGGAAAUCUGGCAGCUUAACUGUCAGGCUUCUAAGGGAUACUGUCAGGCUUGGGACCGGAAGAGGUAAGGGGUACUCCAGGGGUAGGAGUGAAAUCUUGUAAUCCCUGGGGGACCAUCUGUGGCGAAGGCGCCUUACCAGAACGGGUCCGACGGUGAGGGACGAAAGCUAGGGGAGCAAACCGGAUUAGAUACCCGGGUAGUCCUAGCUGUAAACGAUGCUCGCUAGGUGUCAGACACGGUGCGACCGUGUUUGGUGCCGCAGGGAAGCCGUUAAGCGUGCCACCUGGGAAGUACGGUCGCAAGGCUGAAACUAAAG
rnacentral:rRNA from 1 species